UACGGAGGGUGCAAGCGUUAUCCGGAUUCACUGGGUUUAAAGGGUGCUUAGGCGGGUGUGUAAGUCCGUGGUGAAAUCUCCGAGCUUAACUCGGAAACUGCCAUGGGUACUGCAUGUCUUGAAUGUUGUGGAGGUGAGCGGAAUAUGUCAUGUAGCGGUGAAAUGCUUAGAUAUGACAUAGAACACCAAUUGCGAAGGCAGCUCACUACACAAAUAUUGACGCUGAGGCACGAAAGCGUGGGGAUCAAACAGG
rnacentral:rRNA from 1 species